UGCAGUUGAUUUCAUCUCCCCUACAAAUGGAA
rnacentral:piRNA from 1 species